CGCACCUUGCGCUCUCGUGUUAUUCCUGGGAGCAUGUUCGUUUGAGUGUCGCGUACCUCUCAACCCCCUCUUCUGUAAAAGGAAGAGCGUUUAGGGUUGGAUCAUGACGGCCUGUUUCAAUGUCGAAACUCUGUCGAAAUGCAAAAAGCUGAACCUUUUCAGACUGGCGGCUUGACCUGUUGUCAUAAGAAACUUUCAACGGGGAUCGCCUGGUCGGGACGAGCUUACCACAAAUGGAGCCCUCUUUGCAGGGCCCCUUCUACCUUUGACCUCAAAUCGAGCAGGACUACCCCCUGAACUUAA
rnacentral:misc_RNA from 1 species